rnacentral:rRNA from 1 species
AUGAACGCUGGCGGCGUGCCUCAUACAUGCAAGUCGCGCGAACAGAUGAGGAGCUUGCUCCUCUGACGUUAGCGGCGGACGGGUGAGUAACACGUGGAUAACCUACCUAUAAGACUGGGAUAACUUCGGGAAACCGGAGCUAAUACCGGAUAAUAUAUUGAACCGCAUGGUUCAAUAGUGAAAGACGGUUUUGCUGUCACUUAUAGAUGGAUCCGCGCCGCAUUAGCUAGUUGGUAAGGUAACGGCUUACCAAGGCAACGAUGCGUAGCCGACCUGAGAGGGGGAUCGCCCACCGUGAAACUGAGACCCGGCCCAGACUCCUACGGGGGGCAGCAGUGGGGAAUCUUCCGAAAUGGGCGAAAGCUUGACGGAGCAACCCCGCGGGAGGGAUGAAGGUCUUCGGAUCGUAAAACUCUGUUAUUAGGGAAAAACAAAUGUGUAAGUAACUAUGCCCGUCUUGACGGUACCUAAGCAAAAAGCCACGGCUAACUACGU